rnacentral:rRNA from 1 species
CCUACGGGAGGCAGCAGUGGAGAAUAUUGCACAAUGGGGGAAACCCUGAUGCAGCGACGCCGCGUGAGUGAAGAAGUAUUUCGGUAUGUAAAGCUCUAUCAGCGGGGAAGAAAAUGACGGUACCUGACUAAGAAGCCCCGGCUAACUACGUGCCAGCAGCCGCGGUAAUACGUAGGGGGCAAGCGUUAUCCGGAUUUACUGGGGGUAAAGGGGGCGUAGACGGCAAGACAAAGCAGAAGUGAAAGCCCAGGGCCCAACCCGGGGAAUGCUUUUGAAACUGCCGGGAUGGAGUGCAGGAGAGGUAAGGGGAAUUCCUAGUGUAGCGGUGAAAUGCGUAGAUAUUAGGAGGAACACCAGUGGCGAAGGCGGCUUACUGGACUGUAACUGACGUUGAGGCUCGAAAGCGUGGGGAGCAAACAGGAUUAGAUACCCUUGUAGUC